rnacentral:lncRNA from 1 species
CACGUCCAUCAUACUCAUGGGACUAGUCUGUGGCCCUUGGCCUUGCUGUUAAGAGCCCCAGGUCAGGAACCAUUGUUUCAUAGGUCUUAGAUGGAAUAUGUGACUUCACAGACUUCCACCUCUGCACUCCAGGCUACUGAUAAUCAAGAACCUGUAGGGCCACCCUUGACAAAAGUUUCCUUAUCCAGUGUUAAUUCAAGGCCAAAUACCACUACGGAGCUGACUCCUCUUUCACAAACACUCAUCUUGGCGGGAGCCAUUUUCAUGGAAGCAGAUCCAAAAGCAAGCCAAGACAAAUAUUUCCUGUUGUCCAUUUUAUCAGAUGUUGUUGAAUGGGAAAACAUCCUACUUCAGACAUAGGGAUACAUGCCAAACUAUUUAUAGAAGAUGUGACAAGGAAUCUGAGAUUUUCCUCAACAUAAUGCUGGAAGUGAGGAGUGAAUGGAGGAAUGGCAAACCAGCUUCUAGAAAGACCUGCAACAACCCUUGUCACCCAUGGUGGACUUGGCACCAGGAUGACCAGCUCUGGGGACAGCACCUUGGUGUCAGCCAACAUUACUCCUGGCCCAGUGGUACUCACAGUACCGGCAGCUCCUGAGAACUUGGAACUUUGGGGUUGGCAGGCACACUAUAGGCCCCAGUUCCACAUCGAGAAUCCAGAAAACCUGCAUUCUUAUUAAUCUGCCUUUCUUCACAUGUCUUCUUUGAAGAAUUCCCGUGUGUGUGUGUGUUUGCCAUAUAUGAGACAGAUUUUACACAAAUUUUCUGUCUCAGGGAAGAGGACCUGAAUCGGCCACUUUUACCGUAAUCUGUGAAAAUAAACUACAAGAGAGUUCAAUGAACAGACAUCAUACUGGACUAAACUUUCUAUCCUUGACUGGUAUGCUUUUUGGAACACUACUAUGCAUGACUAUUUUUUAAUGGCUGUUUUAAAAUAUUCUUGACAUACCAACAAUAUACAAGUUGAUAAGUUUCGAUAUAAGCAUAUUCCCACAAAACCAUUAACAUAAUUAAGAAAAUAAACAUAUCUACAAUGCUCAAAAAAAA